rnacentral:rRNA from 1 species
UAGGGAAUCUUCCACAAUGGACGCAAGUCUGAUGGAGCAACGCCGCGUGAGUGAAGAAGGUUUUCGGAUCGUAAAGCUCUGUUGUUGGUGAAGAAGGAUAGAGGUAGUAACUGGCCUUUAUUUGACGGUAAUCAACCAGAAAGUCACGGCUAACUACGUGCCAGCAGCCGCGGUAAUACGUAGGUGGCAAGCGUUGUCCGGAUUUAUUGGGCGUAAAGCGAGCGCAGACGGAAGAAUAAGUCUGAUGUGAAAGCCCUCGGCUUAACCGAGGAACUGCAUCGGAAACUGUUUUUCUUGAGUGCAGAAGAGGAGAGUGGAAUUCCAUGUGUAGCGGUGGAAUGCGUAGAUAUAUGGAAGAACACCAGUGGCGAAGGCGACUCUCUGGUCUGCAACUGACGCUGAGGCUCGAAAGCAUGGGUAGCGAACAGG